rnacentral:tRNA from 1 species
GGGGAUUUAGCUCAGUGGCAGAGCGCUUGCCUAGCAAGCACAAGGCCCUGGGUUCCGUCCCCAGCUCCG